GUGUCAGCAGCCGCGGUAAUACGAAGGGGGCUAGCGUUGCUCGGAAUCACUGGGCGUAAAGGGCGCGUAGGCGGCCCCGAUAGUCAGGCGUGAAAUUCCUGGGCUCAACCUGGGGACUGCGCUUGAUACGUCGGGGCUGGAGUGCGGGAGAGGGUCGCGGAAUUCCCAGUGUAGAGGUGAAAUUCGUAGAUAUUGGGAAGAACACCGGUGGCGAAGGCGGCGACCUGGCCCGUUACUGACGCUGAGGCGCGACAGCGUGGGGAGCAAACAGGAUUAGAAACCCCUGUAGUCC
rnacentral:rRNA from 1 species